rnacentral:rRNA from 1 species
GACGAACGCUGGCGGCGUGCUUAACACAUGCAAGUCGAGCGGUAAGGCCCUUUCGGGGGUACGACGAGCGGCGAACGGGUGAGUAACACGUGGGUGACCUGCCCUCAGCUCUGGGAUAAGCCCGGGAAACUGGGUCUAAUACCGGAUAUGACUUCAUGACGCAUGUUGUGGAGUGGAAAGCCUUGUGCGGCUGAGGAUGGGCCCGCGGCCUAUCAGCUUGUUGGUGGGGUGAUGGCCUACCAAGGCGACGACGGGUAGCCGGCCUGAGAGGGCGACCGGCCACACUGGGACUGAGAUACGGCCCAGACUCCUACGGGAGGCAGCAGUGGGGAAUCUUGCGCAAUGGGCGAAAGCCUGACGCAGCGACGCCGCGUGAGGGAUGACGGCCUCGGUUGUAACGUACUU